GUGCUUGCUUCGGCAGCAUAGGUACUAAAAUUGGAAGGACACAGAGAAGAUUGACGUGGCCCCUGCACAAGGGUGACACGCAAAUUCGUGAAGCGUUCUGUAUUUUU